AUUGAACGCUGGCGGAAUGCUUUACACAUGCAAGUCGAACGGUAGAGGGGGCAACCCCUUGAGAGCGGCGAACGGGUGAGUAAUAUAUCGGAACGUGCCCAGUCGUGGGGAUAACGUAGCGAAAGUUACGCUAAUACCGCAUACGAUCUAAGGAUGAAAGCGGGGGACUCGCAAGAGCCUCGCGCGAUUGGAGCGGCCGAUAUCAGAUUAGGUAGUUGGUGGGGUAAAGGCUCACCAAGCCAACGAUCUGUAGCUGGUCUGAGAGGAUGAUCAGCCACAUUGGGACUGAGACACGGCCCAAAACUCCUACGGGAGGCAGCAGUGGGGAAUCUUGCGCAAUGGGCGAAAAGCCGUGACGCAGCCAUGCCGCGUGAAUGAUGAAGGUC
rnacentral:rRNA from 1 species